AUGCUUUAUUCCAAGUCUCCUUCCUGCAUGGCUUUCUUGAGUGCCUCAGGCUUUUGGGUUGAAUUUGGUGGUUGCAGUUUGCUGCCAGCCCCCAGAGCUUGGUGGCCGCGGGGGUGCUCAGAGCAACAGCAGGACUGUGCUGGUGGCUGGGUCGUCCUGUUUAGGAAGGAGCAAGGCCUCACCAGGGUUGGGUGUAGUGACCGUCCCCACUUUAGGACCCUGGAUAUCCCUGUUGGGUGGUGGGUUUCAGGGAAAUAUGCAACCUGCUUGGUGGGCUGGUGCAAAAUGGGGGUGCUGCCCCCAGCCUGGUGCUGCUGCCCAAGGUCGCUGAUGGCCUCGUGCCAUCUACCCGAAAGAAGAAAAGAAAGUUGCCCGUUUUCCAUAAAAACAAGCUCAACUGCCCCAAGCUGGUGAGCUGGCAGGAGUUGGGAGUCAUGAAGGAAAGCCAACUGUUUCCCUGCCCCUUCCAGUGGUGGAGAUCUCUCAUCCCACCUCUCGGUCUGUCUCCUGUAGCCGUGCUUGCAAUGUGGCAAAGCCCCUGGUACUCCUCAGCCUCCUGUUGUUGCUCAUGGGAAGGCGGAAGGGAGGUGACUGGUCGUGGUAGGAGCGUGGGGCUUCUUUGGGACCAUUGGUGGUCGGAGCAGGUCCUCUGCCACUUCUGGACCUGCUUGGAGAUCUUGGGGCUAGAAGGAAAUGAGCUUGGCCGCUGUGCCUGGCUGGCAAGAAGCAGGUUACUUCUUGCUGAGGGCUGGCAUUGAUUCAAAGCAAGGGCCUGGCUGGGUCCCUCAGUGGGACGCGUCUCCUGAAGAUCCACCAGCCUGCGCUGAUGUGCAGACCAUUAGAGUUAUUUCAUGUGGAAGCACACAUAGGUUUUUCAAGACCAGCAAAAAAAAAAAAAAAAAAAAAAAAAAAAGGCUCCUGUCCUGGCUAAAGCCUCUUCUGCACCUUGGGCAAGGAGACAUUUAAGAAAAAAAAAAAAGUGAUGGGUUGUUUUUUUUUCCUAGCUGAGGAGAAGCAAACAAGUGGCUAAGUGAGGAAAUCAACGCCUCAUGCAUGUCCAAGAAUAAUAUAAUCAAGUAAUUUUUUGGGGGGGAAAAAAAAAGUGUUGCUUUUCCCAGCUGAGCACUCUGAGUGAUGAGCCUACGAGCUGGAGGGGGAGCUCCCGGGAGAGGCGCCCGUGUGCGGGAGACAGACAACAAGUGUCUCGGAUGGGCCCGUGUCUGCUGCGAUCUCUCUCUAAUUUUCUACAUCAGUGAGAACUCGGCGCAGCACCAUCCAUCAUAGUCAAAGCCUCCUCGGCGAGCCGCCUCCCGGCAGAGGGACACCCCACCCCUGUGUCCGCCCCGGCGAGGGGCUCCAGGUGCUCCUGCGUGCAGUUGGCUCUCUCUGCUCUGUCUCCCUUGUGGGCUCAAGCACCAGUGAGAACCGGGGAGCGUGCUGCUUGCUUGAGCGCAGCUCCAGACAGAAGCAUCUUCAGAAUAAACCACUGCAAAUAAACCACUGCAAUUGCCACCUGCUUCUCAGCCUCUGGCUUCUCAGAGCAGUCAAAGAGCCCUGACCUCUCUCUCAGGCAUGGUGAUCUGCUUGUUUCAACCCUGCUCCGGCAUUGCGGAGCUGUUGCUGGCUUCUGUAAUAGCUGCUUUGUUUACUUCCCCAAUGCCUGCCCUUUUGGUAAUGAGCUAUAAUUCAUUCUGUUUUAUACAGUGCUCAGAGAUACCUGGAGCAAGGAAGGUGUGCCAUUAAAAACACCUUCUAGCCUGCUCUCUGGAGCAGGGGUUGCUGAUCUCGUGGAGAGGUAAAAUGGGGGGGAAAGGGGGAGGAGAUGGAAAAGGGGAAUAAUUGCCUCCCAGGGUAAAAGGGGCUGGCUGGGUUCGAAACUGCUGGGGGCUGACAUGCAGGUGUAGAUGAAAAGCUGUGAUGGGCAGACAGGGCGGAGGGAUGAAAGAUAUUUUUUUAAAAGCAUCUGCUUUUCUCUCUUUCCAUGCUUUAUAACCUGUUUUUAUAGAGACUGCAUGAGGAACACAUUUUUUUAUUAGCAGCUUGGGAGUGGAGAGUAAUAAAGAUUAAUUUUUUAAAUAAUUCCUUGCAUUAUCUUUUAAUUUCCUGUGGCAGCAUUUGACUUUUAUAUCUGAAAAUGGAGUUAACCACUGAUGUGCUCCUCAGUUUGGAAGCGCCAGCCGAAGGAGCUGCAGGAUGUGGCGAUGCUGGUGUGGUCCCAGAGCUGAGCCUGGAGCCUCAGCCUCUCCCGGGGAGGCCUGUCUGUCCUUGGCUGCAAGGAUCUGCUCAGGUUUGUAGCUCUGGGCAUCAUUUCUGCUCCAGGAAGACUGCUGUAAGCCAUCCUGCAGCUUGCAGUGUCCGUUUUGCUUCCUUCCACUGAUGGUAAUUAUGAUACUCCCUUUAUUGCUGUUGAGGAAGGAUGAAACCCAAUGGCUCUGCGGCUGCAGGAUGGGGAGGAGAUGUUGGGAAGAAGCAAUGAGGGUUGGAGAAGAGGGGGAUGAGGUGGGAGAGGUGAUGCAGACCUGAAGCCUGAGGCUCUGCUGGGCUUUAACCUGCUGGGGAGACUGGCUGAGAGCUCGUGCACCAUGCGUGUGCUCCUGCAGGCACUGAAGCUGAGCAGAAGCAAUGCUCAGCCUGCAGAGACCCCGGCUUCCUUUGGCCACUUGCCUUCUUUCCAUGACCUGUGCUUCGUCAGCCCAGCUGCUGGCUGCCAGACUUGGCUCUGAGCUUCUCCUCUCCCUGUAGAGCGAGCGGUGGAGGUGAGAAGAGGUUGGUCCGGGGAACCAGCUAGCGUGGGCAGCAGCCCUUUGGCUCACGUCAGGAUGAAGCCAGG
rnacentral:lncRNA from 1 species